rnacentral:rRNA from 1 species
UACAGAGGUGGCAAGCGUUGUUCGGAAUUACUGGGCGUAAAGGGCUCGUAGGCGGCCAACUAAGUCGGAUGUGAAAUCCCCCAGGCUCAACCUGGGAACUGCAUCCGAUACUGGAUGGCUUGAAUCCGGGAGAGGGAUGCAGAAUUCCAGGUGUAGCGGUGAAAUGCGUAGAUAUCUGGAGGAAUACCGGUGGCGAAGGCGGCAUCCUGGACCGGCAUUGACGCUGAGGAGCGAAAGCCAGGGGAGCAAACGGG